UACGUAGGAGGCAAGCGUUGUCCGGAAUCAUUGGGCGUAAAGCGCGCGUAGGCGGCCCCGUAAGUCCGCUGUGAAAGUCAAAGGCUCAACCUUUGAAAGCCGGUGGAUACUGUGGGGCUAGAGUCCGGAAGAGGCGAGUGGAAUUCCUGGUGUAGCGGUGGAAUGCGCAGAUAUCAGGAGGAACACCAAUAGCGAAGGCAGCUCGCUGGGACGGUACUGACGCUAAGGCGCGAAAGCGUGGGGAGCGAACAGG
rnacentral:rRNA from 1 species